rnacentral:rRNA from 1 species
GGUUAAGUGACUAAGCGUACACGGUGGAUGCCUAGGCAGUCAGAGGCGAUGAAGGGCGUGCUAAUCUGCGAAAAGCGUCGGUAAGGUGAUAUGAACCGUUAUAACCGGCGAUACCCGAAUGGGGAAACCCAGUGUGUUUCGACACACUAUCAUGUCAUGAAUACAUAGUGGCAUGAGGCGAACCGGGGGAACUGAAACAUCUAAGUACCCCGAGGAAAAGAAAUCAACCGAGAUUCCCCCAGUAGCGGCGAGCGAACGGGGAGGAGCCCAGAACCUGAAUCGGCUUGUGUGUUAGUGGAAGCGUCUGGAAAGUCGCGCAGUAAAGGGUGAUAGCCCCGUACACUAAAAUGCACAGGUCGUGAGUUCGAUGAGUAGGGCGGGACACGUGACAUCCUGUCUGAAUAUGGGGGGACCAUCCUCCAAGGCUAAAUACUCCUGACUGACCGAUAGUGAACCAGUACCGUGAGGGAAAGGCGAAAAGAACCCCGGCGAGGGGAGUGAAAUAGAACCUGAAACCGUGUACGUACAAGCAGUGGGAGCACCUUCGUGGUGUGACUGCGUACCUUUUGUAUAAUGGGUCAGCGACUUAUAUUUUGUAGCAAGGUUAACCGUAUAGGGGAGCCGUAGGGAAACCGAGUCUUAACUGGGCGACUAGUUGCAAGGUAUAGACCCGAAACCCGGUGAUCUAGCCAUGGGCAGGUUGAAGGUUGGGUAACACUAACUGGAGGACCGAACCGACUAAUGUUGAAAAAUUAGCGGAUGACUUGUGGCUGGGGGUGAAAGGCCAAUCAAACCGGGAGAUAGCUGGUUCUCCCCGAAAGCUAUUUAGGUAGCGCCUCGUGAACUCAUCUUCGGGGGUAGAGCACUGUUUCGGCUAGGGGGCCAUCCCGGCUUACCAAACCGAUGCAAACUCCGAAUACCGAAGAAUGUUAUCACGGGAGACACACGGCGGGUGCUAACGUCCGUCGUGAAGAGGGAAACAACCCAGACCGCCAGCUAAGGUCCCAAAGUCAUGGUUAAGUGGGAAACGAUGUGGGAAGGCAUAGACAGCCAGGAUGUUGGCUUAGAAGCAGCCAUCAUUUAAAGAAAGCGUAAUAGCUCACUGGUCGAGUCGGCCUGCGCGGAAGAUGUAACGGGGCUAAACCAUGCACCGAAGCUGCGGCAGCGACGCUUAGGCGUUGUUGGGUAGGGGAGCGUUCUGUAAGCCGUUGAAGGUGGCCUGUGAGGGUUGCUGGAGGUAUCAGAAGUGCGAAUGCUGACAUAAGUAACGAUAAAGCGGGUGAAAAGCCCGCUCGCCGGAAGACCAAGGGUUCCUGUCCAACGUUAAUCGGGGCAGGGUGAGUCGACCCCUAAGGCGAGGCUGAAAAGCGUAGUCGAUGGGAAACAGGUUAAUAUUCCUGUACUUGGUGUUACUGCGAAGGGGGGACGGAGAAGGCUAGGCUAGCCGGGCGACGGUUGUCCCGGUUUAAGCGUGUAGGGGGUGUGACCUGGUAAAUCCGGUUGCAUAUCAACCCUGAGGCGUGAUGACGAUGCACUACGGUGCAGAAGUAGUUGAUGCCCUGCUUCCAGGAAAAUCCUCUAAGCAUCAGGUAACAUUAAAUCGUACCCCAAACCGACACAGGUGGUCAGGUAGAGAAUACCAAGGCGCUUGAGAGAACUCGGGUGAAGGAACUAGGCAAAAUGGUGCCGUAACUUCGGGAGAAGGCACGCUGGCAUGUAGGUGAAGUCCCUUGCGGAUGGAGCUGAAGCCAGUCGAAGAUACCAGCUGGCUGCAACUGUUUAAUAAAAACACAGCACUGUGCAAACACGAAAGUGGACGUAUACGGUGUGACGCCUGCCCGGUGCUGGAAGGUUAAUUGAUGGGGUCAGCCGCAAGGCGAAGCUCUUGAUCGAAGCCCCAGUAAACGGCGGCCGUAACUAUAACGGUCCUAAGGUAGCGAAAUUCCUUGUCGGGUAAGUUCCGACCUGCACGAAUGGCGUAAUGAUGGCCAGGCUGUCUCCACCCGAGACUCAGUGAAAUUGAACUCGCUGUGAAGAUGCAGUGUACCCGCGGCAAGACGGAAAGACCCCGUGAACCUUUACUAUAGCUUGACACUGAACAUUGAGCCUUGAUGUGUAGGAUAGGUGGGAGGCUUUGAAGCGUGGACGCCAGUCUGCGUGGAGCCAUCCUUGAAAUACCACCCUUUAAUGUUUGAUGUUCUAACUCGGCCCCAUAAUCUGGGGUGAGGACAGUGUCUGGUGGGUAGUUUGACUGGGGCGGUCUCCUCCCAAAGAGUAACGGAGGAGCACGAAGGUUAGCUAAUCACGGUCGGACAUCGUGAGGUUAGUGCAAAGGCAUAAGCUAGCUUGACUGCGAGAGUGACGGCUCGAGCAGGUACGAAAGUAGGUCUUAGUGAUCCGGUGGUUCUGAAUGGAAGGGCCAUCGCUCAACGGAUAAAAGGUACUCCGGGGAUAACAGGCUGAUACCGCCCAAGAGUUCAUAUCGACGGCGGUGUUUGGCACCUCGAUGUCGGCUCAUCACAUCCUGGGGCUGAAGUAGGUCCCAAGGGUAUGGCUGUUCGCCAUUUAAAGUGGUACGCGAGCUGGGUUUAGAACGUCGUGAGACAGUUCGGUCCCUAUCUGCCGUGGGCGUUGGAAGAUUGAGAGGGGUUGCUCCUAGUACGAGAGGACCGGAGUGAACGCACCACUGGUGUUCGGGUUGUCAUGCCAAUGGCAUUGCCCGGUAGCUAAGUGCGGAAAAGAUAAGCGCUGAAAGCAUCUAAGCGCGAAACUUGCCUCAAGAUGAGUCUUCCCUGGGCCUUUAAGGCCCCUGAAGGAACGUUUAAGACUAAGACGUUGAUAGGCUGGGUGUGUAAGUGCAGCGAUGCAUUGAGCUAACCAGUACUAAUGAUCCGUGAGGCUUAACCUU